rnacentral:rRNA from 1 species
GACAGAGGUGGCUAGCGUUGUUCGGUAUCACUGGGCUUAAAGCGUGUGUAGGCGGGAGCGUAAGCAUUUUGUGAAAUCCCCCGGCUUAACCGGGGAAUCGCUUGAUGUACUGCGUUUCUUGAGGCAGGUAGGGGUGCGAGGAACUCUUGGUGGAGCGGUGGAAUGCGUAGAUAUCAAGAGGAACGCCGGUGGUGAAGACGUCGCACUGGGCCUGUCCUGACGCUGAGACACGAAAGCGUGGGGAGCGAACGGG